rnacentral:rRNA from 1 species
CCACGGGUGGCAGCAGUGGGGAAUAUUGGACAAUGGGCGAAAGCCUGAUCCAGCCAUGCCGCGUGUGUGAAGAAGGCCUUCGGGUUGUAAAGCACUUUCAGUGGGGAAGAAAGCCUUGGGGCUAAUACCCUCGAGGAAGGACAUCACCCACAGAAGAAGCACCGGCUAACUCCGUGCCAGCAGCCGCGGUAAUACGGAGGGUGCGAGCGUUAAUCGGAAUUACUGGGCGUAAAGCGCGCAUAGGCGGUCUGAUAAGCCGGUUGUGAAAGCCCCGGGCUCAACCUGGGAACGGCAUCCGGAACUGUCAGGCUAGAGUGCAGGAGAGGAAGGUAGAAUUCCCGGUGUAGCGGUGAAAUGCGUAGAGAUCGGGAGGAAUACCAGUGGCGAAGGCGGUCUUCUGGACUGACACUGACGCUGAGGUGCGAAAGCGUGGGUAGCAAACAGGAUUAGAUACCCCUGUAGUC